AUUGAACGCUGGCGGCAUGCCUUACACAUGCAAGUCGAACGGCAGCACGGACUUCGGUCUGGUGGCGAGUGGCGAACGGGUGAGUAAUAUAUCGGAACAUACCUUGUAGUGGGGGAUAACUAUCCGAAAGGAUAGCUAAUACCGCAUACGCUCUAAGGAGGAAAGCGGGGGAUCGUAAGACCUCGUGCUAUAAGAGUGGCCGAUAUCUGAUUAGCUAGUUGGUGAGGUAAAGGCUCACCAAGGCGACGAUCAGUAGCUGGUCUGAGAGGACGACCAGCCACACUGGAACUGAGACACGGUCCAGACUCCUACGGGAGGCAGCAGUGGGGAAUUUUGGACAAUGGGGGCAACCCUGAUCCAGCGAUGCCGCGUGAGUGAAGAAGGCCUUCGGGUUGUAAAGCUCUUUUGUCAGGGAAGAAACGGUUGUGGCUAAUAUCCAUGGCUAAUGACGGUACCUGAAGAAUAAGCACCGGCUAACUACGUGCCAGCCGCCGCCGUAA
rnacentral:rRNA from 1 species